UACGUAGGGUGCAAGCGUUAAUCGGAAUUACUGGGCGUAAAGCGUGCGCAGGCGGUUUCGUAAGUCUGUCGUGAAAUCCCCGGGCUUAACCUGGGACGUGCAGUCAAAACUGUAAGCCUUGAAUGUCUGAGAGGAUGGCGGAAUUCCCGGUGUAGUAGUGAAAUACGUAGAUAUCGGGAAGAACACCUGAGGCGAAGGCGGCUAUCUGGCGGUACAUUGACGCUGAGGCGCGAAAGCGUGGGGAGCAAACAGG
rnacentral:rRNA from 1 species